GCGGGUGUAGUUUAGUGGUAGAAUAUCUGCCUUCCAAGCAGAGGACGGGGGUUCGAUUCCCCCCACCCGCACCA
rnacentral:tRNA from 1 species